rnacentral:tRNA from 1 species
GGGAUUAGCUCAGCUGGCUAGAGCGCCUGCCUUGCAUGCAGGAGGUCAUCGGUUCGACUCCGAUAUUCUCCACUAAAC